rnacentral:rRNA from 1 species
CUGCGAAUGGCUCAUUAAAUCAGUUAUCGUUUAUUUGAUAGUACCUUACUACUUGGAUAACCGUGGUAAUUCUAGAGCUAAUACAUGCUAAAAACCUCGACUUCGGAAGGGGUGUAUUUAUUAGAUAAAAAACCAAUGCCCUUCGGGGCUCCUUGGUGAUUCAUAAUAACUUAACGAAUCGCAUGNCCUUGCGCCGGCGAUGGUUCAUUCAAAUUUCUGCCCUAUCAACUUUCGAUGGUAGGAUAGUGGCCUACCAUGGUAUCAACGGGUAACGGGGAAUUAGGGUUCUAUUCCGGAGAGGGAGCCUGAGAAACGGCUACCACAUCCAAGGAAGGCAGCAGGCGCGCAAAUUACCCAAUCCCGACGCGGGGAGGUAGUGACAAUAAAUACUGAUACAGGGCUCUUUUGGGUCUUGUAAUUGGAAUGAGUACAAUUUAAAUCCCUUAACGAGGAACAAUUGGAGGGCAAGUCUGGUGCCAGCAGCCGCGGUAAUUCCAGCUCCAAUAGCGUAUAUUAAAGUUGUUGCAGUUAAAAAGCUCGUAGUUGAACCUUGGGUCUGGCUGACCGGUCCGCCUCACCGCGUGCACUGGUUCGGCCGGACCUUUCCUUCUGGGGAUCCGCAUGCCCUUCACUGGGCGUGUCGGGGAACCAGGACUUUUACUUUGAAAAAAUUAGAGUGUUCAAAGCAGGCCUUUGCUCGAAUACAUUAGCAUGGAAUAAUAGAAUAGGACGUGCGGUUCUAUUUUGUUGGUUUCUAGGACCGCCGUAAUGAUUAAUAGGGAUAGUCGGGGGUAUCAGUAUUCAAUUGUCAGAGGUGAAAUUCUUGGAUUUAUUGAAGACUAACUACUGCGAAAGCAUUUACCAAGGAUGUUUUCAUUAAUCAGUGAACGAAAGUUAGGGGAUCGAAGACGAUCAGAUACCGUCGUAGUCUUAACCGUAAACGAUGCCGACUAGGGAUCGGGCGAUGUUAUCAUUUUGACUCGCUCGGCACCUUACGAGA